AAUGGUUUCCUAUUUCGCAGAAACUGAUUUUGAAAAAAAUAAAAAUAAAAUAAAAUUUAAAGCUUAUCUUUUCAGAACUAGCAACAAACUCAAUUUGAAAUUGGAUCUUAUCUUCUGAAUAUUCUAGAGCAAUUAAACCUAAGAUUUCUAAGUUAUAUAUAUUCUAAAUUCCAAUUGAUCUGCCGUAUACAAACACUAUCAAAUAAUACCCAUCUCUUUCAACCUUUCACAAGUCGUCAUUCCCGACCGAUAUAUCAACGACGGAGGCUACUAGGUGAACAACUUGGAGGCUACUUAUCUUGAGAUUUACGCGCAACUCAAGGUUGGUAAGAGGGCACUCGGUUACGUGUGAGGAGACGUUAGAAUAAUCACGUAGCUAAGACAUUUUAGUUAACUCUAAACUUAUUUAUUUCCCUUUUUAAAUUAUGUUUUAAAGUGUUUUAUGGUUUGGAUGUAACGAAUAUUUAAUUCUUUGUUGCCACUUAGCUCACCUAGUUAUAAAAUGGUAUUUUUGUUUUUGCUUUGCACUUGUUUUCUAUGGAAAAAUAAGUGUAGCAGUAACACUCCCAAGGUUCGAUGGUGGGUUUUGAAAAGAAAAGAGUUACUCUUAUUGUUUACAAUGACC